CUUGGUCAUUUAGAGGAAGUAAAAGUCGUAACAAGGUCUCCGUAGGUGAACCUGCGGAGGGAUCAUUACAAGAACGCCCGGGCUUCGGCCUGGUUAUUCAUAACCCUUUGUUGUCCGACUCUGUUGCCUCCGGGGCGACCCUGCCUUCGGGCGGGGGCUCCGGGUGGACACUUCAAACUCUUGCGUAACUUUGCAGUCUGAGUAAACUUAAUUAAUAAAUUAAAACUUUUAACAACGGAUCUCUUGGUUCUGGCAUCGAUGAAGAACGCAGCGAAAUGCGAUAAGUAAUGUGAAUUGCAGAAUUCAGUGAAUCAUCGAAUCUUUGAACGCACAUUGCGCCCCCUGGUAUUCCGGGGGGCAUGCCUGUUCGAGCGUCAUUUCACCACUCAAGCCUCGCUUGGUAUUGGGCAACGCGGUCCGCCGCGUGCCUCAAAUCGUCCGGCUGGGUCUUCUGUCCCCUAAGCGUUGUGGAAACUAUUCGCUAAAGGGUGUUCGGGAGGCUACGCCGUAAAACAACCCCAUUUCUAAGGUUGACCUCGGAUCAGGUAGGGAUACCCGCUGAACUUAAGCAUAUCAAUAAGCGGAGGA
rnacentral:rRNA from 7 species